GGGGGGGGGUGGGGGGGGUGGGGUGCGGGGUUACUUGCCUUCUGGAGAGAGCUGGCAGAAUGGUGGGUCCUGUCCCACGAGGUGGCUGAGAUGAAAUAAGAUGAUGGAUGUUAGGUGAUGAGCUCUCUGCUAGGCUUAAUAGACGGAUUGCGACCACCUCCCUCCUCUGCGCCCUAUUUGAAAGGAAGCCACGGUUCACCUCGAACCUACAGGUUUACAGAGAGCCUGAACUUUUACCGUUGGGGGAGUAGGCUGACGAUUGGGAAUAGCCCCACGGGUCUAGUGAAAAGAGAGUCCUAGAAGUGAAGACGUGGGGCCACUUCCGCUGCUGCUCCGGAAGUGCUUCCCAAAGCUGUGGGAGGGGUGCGGACCCUUCCUAGCUGACCCGGAAAGAGAAACUCGCAGGAAGCAUCUAGCGAGCAGGCGAGGUGGCUGUCUCCUAGGUAUUAGAUGUUUUGUGUUUGGUAAACUGAGGAUGAUUUAAGACCCCGGAAAAAAGGCUCCUAACAGAGACGGAAAUCAGGGCAGGGGUGGUAUGCAAACAGGAGCAAUGCGAAGGCCACUGGUCAGCAAGGCAGAGCGAAGAGCAGGCCUUACACGGACAGGGCUGCGGUGGGGCUGGGUGUCCAGGCCUCGUGCCUGCCAUUAACACGUAGCCUAUUCUCAGGCGAGCGAGCACGUGCCGGAAGGGAAAACCUGAAAGAACUCAUAAUCACUUGCCUCCCUGAGGUUUAGAAGACAGGAAACAGAAGCAUCCCCAACAGACCUGGGGAGUAAGGCGUGUUUGAGCCAAGCUUUCUGGUCGCAGUGUUUGAAGGGCUGAACUCUGGAGCCCCGUGGAGGUUUCACCACCUGCUCGUGGGAGGUGGAUUUCCAGCACUUUUCCGCUCGUGUUGGAGUUCCAGGCAAGUGUGCGGGUACAGCGGCAGCCUGCCUUACCGCAUGGAUUCGGGCAGUCCAGGCAGCCAGAGCGGGUGCGCCCCGUUUGGUCCUGUGGCCUUCCAUCCUCCAGCCGCGUCCAGGGGAGAGGCUGUCCGCCCUGAGUGCCCCCAGCUAAACAGGUGGUUGCUGGCAACCCUGCAAGCAAACAAACUGAAGCCAGGAGGAGAGCACCCAUCCAUGGGGACCAGCCGCGACCUCGAAAAAGGCUGAACCCCCACAGGAAGGCGGGCCUGUCCUCCUCUUGGCCCAGGCCAGCUCCGAGCUCACUGCAGGGAAGGAGGCAGAAUCACUGCAAGACCGAAGAGAAGCAGGGGCCGGAAGGGAGUCCCUCUGCCCAGAUGCCUCAGGAGAGAAGCCCUGGCCUGUGUGUGCCUCUCAGGGCACUCUGGACUCUCCUGCCCGCAGAAGCAGGAUUUGGGUAGAAUGGGCCAGGGUGGGCACUGCCAGAACACCCAGGUUACCUGGGAAAAGUUAUUCUGAAGGAAAUCCAGGGAACUAGGAGGGACCAAGUUGUGGAAGAAACAACUGGCUCAGGAGAUUCAAACAAGCCAUUUCUUUCAAUAUCGUUUAUUUAUUUUUUGUGUCAUAAAAAUGCAGAGGAGGAACCCGGGAGAGGAGACUCAAGUGGCUUUGGCUGAGGCUCGAGUCGCACUUGUACCCUUGCUCUCCUUGCUCGGUGUGGCUGAGGCUCAAGUCUCUCUUGUACCCUUGCUCUCCUUGCUUGGUGGACAGACUUACUGCUAAUCAGUUUCUUUCUAAAGCUCAGAAGGGACAAUGUGUUGCUUCUACCUUUUUUCCCUCCAAAGUACAGUGUCACUUCCUACAGCAUUUUCUAGUUAACUCUGGAGAGAACAUAGUGGCAGCUUUAAACAGUUACAACCACUUGGUUCAUGUAUGUUAAGAAAAUGGAGAGAAUUUCAAAUGAAUAUGAAACCUUUAACAAGUAGGUCCCCUGAACAUAAUAGAUAUUUUCCCCUGGUUCAAGUUUAGGACUAAAUUAGGAGGAAUUGGAGAGGGUCCAGAGGAUAGUAAUGAAAAUGAUUAAAGGACCAAUGAUGAAAGGUUCAAGGGGUUGGGAUUACUUAGCCUGGAGAAGAGAAAUUUGAGGGGUGAUUUAAUGGCAAUCUUCAAGUACAGUAUGUGGAGGUUAUUACAAGUAUGGUAGCCAGCUGUUAUCCAGCUGUAUUGAAGGUUGAAAAAAGGAAACAGAACUAGAAUUUCAGCAGGAGAUAGAUUGAAGUUAGACCAGUGGUGUCAGUGGUUCUCAAAGUAGCUCAAUGGAUUGUGGAAUUUUUGUGGAAGAUCAUGAACUAUUGAUGUUUUAAACUUAAAAUAUGUAGGAUUUGCUAAACCUGAUACCAGGCUGUAUAAUAGUAUCAGAAGCUUAAGGGAGAGAGAAUUCUGGACUCCAAAUUGGGAAACUGUCCAUCUGGGGAGGUGAGUGGGAGUUAGACACAGGGAUCCUUGACGGGGGAGCCCAGUUUGAGAAGCAGGGGGUCUGACCGUGGGCGGCACCAGCAGAGGUGCUGAGCGCUGCCGGCAGAGCCCGUCAGGGUGCCUGCAGGCCCAGGAAGGAAGGCAGGCUCCUGGCUGAAUCCCGCGGCCCUGACUCACCCCGAGCCCUGCGCGUGGCCGCGGCGGUGGUGGUCCAGGCUGCGCACGCAGGGCCUCUGAGGACUCGCGGCCCGUGGACGGGGCAGCCAUGGGCCUGCUCACGGAGGCUGGCCGGCAGGCCUUCCGUCCCAGCCCUGGCCUGGCCUGUGGAUGCAGGUCACCAUAACCAACUGUAGAGCAUCAGGAAUUUCACUCUUUAGAAAAAACUUUUUAAAUGUUUUAUUACAAAGCUUCUUUUAAAAAAUGCUCAGCACGUUAACUCAAACUGGAAUGACAAACGUUAGAUUGACAAUUUGGGGCAAAGGCUGUGCCUUGUUAUUAAAAAAAAAAGGGGGGGUACAUAUCAAUGCUCGUUUUAACAACUGGCAUAAAUCCCACUAAUUGGCUAAUAAAAACAGAUACAAAUACAGAACAUUUAAAGUAAUAACAAUUCAAGUGCUGGGCUUUUUACAACAAGGGGGUGAGAAGGAAAGAAAUGAAAAUUCACUGCAAACUGGUCUGCUGAAAGUAUCUGUUAAGGUUACCAUUAAAAAAAAAGAGAGAUCGUAAGAAAAAUAAAGAGGACUGCCAACUGCUGCCCACAGAGUGGACUGGCUGUUACGUUUAUUUAGCUCUAUCAGACACCUUACAAAGACAGAGAGGCCGCUAUUGUUACAGGUAAUUCAGGAGAAGCCACUUAGCAGACGAGAUCGCUCUCAAAAGGAGGAGGCUUCUUUUCAUUUCGUUUUUAUUUCAAACAGUUCCAGAUCUUUGAAUUUUACUUAAAAAGCUCAUAGCUAGCAAAAUAUACAAGAAAAAAGAAGUGUCAAUUUAAAAAAAUUCAAGUUUAAAAAAAGAAGCAAACAAGACAGAUCCUUUUGCACUGUUAAAUAAAAGCUUGAGGAGAAGAAACACGAAGCCGGAAACAGAGGGAACUCUUCCCCACAUUCCUGCGGGGACCUGGCGGCUCUGCUGCAGCCGCUCCCGCUUCCGCUUCCAGUGCUCAGGUGCUUGGGGCAGGCGGAAGCAGCCAGGUUACUGUCCUUGCCAGAAGGUUACAGAUACGGAUGCAGGACGCUCUGGGAAGUGCACAGCGGAGGGGGGAGGAAAGCUGCUCAGCUGACCCAGGGCCUGCUAGCAUUCUCGUGCGUUUUCUUUUAAAAAAACCUUAUAUGCUUUACUGUGGAACUUGGCUCUUGCAGUAGAUGAAAGGGGGUUGGCAGUGAUUGUCUUUAUGGAUCAGCGUCUCUAGCAGUGACCUCAGGGUGAAGUUGGUGUCAUUUCUCCUUUGGGGUCGACUGGGCAAGCCGUGGAGACAGUCUGGGUUUUCAACAAGCUUCCAUCUCCAGGAGAGGUCCCGGGGUCGCUGCCUUGGCUUUGCACGUUGGGAAUGAGCUUCGUUUUCCACCUCGAGAAGGAACAAAUAAAAUGCUGUUAAUGCGCAUUUGCCACAGACCUUUACAGAUUUUGAACCUCAGCUGCAACCUCUUAAGAGCUCUGCAUUUAAUUAAUUAAUCCUCUUUGUUGAUCUGGUGAUAGCUAAGACAGAUUGCCCUAAGGUAGCCCUAAAUCCUGAGAUUACGUUAGAGAAUAAGUGUACUUUACUCAAGUGUUUACCUUAGUUCCAUGUAUAUGUAUAUAUAUGUACAGAGUUAUGAUGGGAAAUACACAUAAUACUUUGGAUCACGGUUCUUAAAAAUAAAUCUGAAAAACGUCAGAAGAGAAUGGCCAAACAUGAACCGUAAUGGCGGGCCAUGGCCAGCUCGGGAGGGUCUGUCAUUCUAAAGUGUUCGGUCUUUUCAGUCCACUGUGGGGAGCUGUCGUAGGACUCUGCACGCGUGCGUAUGUGCUAAGUCACUUCAGUUGUGUCGCACUCCUUGCGACCCUGACAGGAGACUAAAAGCACACUCAAGUGAGUGAGUGCCCCACAUUCCCACAACAAGCAGCCGUGCAGCCGGGAUGGCUUCUGUCCGCUCAUAUUCAGUCUGAGGAGCAUAAGCUUCUCCAAUAUUCAGGCUUCAAUUCUUAGUAUUUUUUUUUCCCUUUAUAACAACUAGGAUCUCUAAUAUUAUGCUUGGGAUGUACACUCAACAAGUAUUUAAAGAUGUUGCUGAUGACAAGAGCAUUCAAAAAGGAUAAUCCCUAAACCCCAAAAGUUUUAAUAAUCUUAGACCCAAAGAGUGAUUACAAAUAAAACAUUGCAACAGAAUCAGAGACGAAAGGAAAGCAAAAGCACCCCCAAGUUCAGCUCCUCUGUGGACAGCAUCCAAUGCCCCUCCUUUGCAACUGGGGAGACGGCCUGGUCCAGCUGCAGGGAGGUCACCUCCCCCACCUGGUCCCCUGGCAGCUCAGACGAAUCUCAACUGUCUGUGCUGCAAUGUCCUCUUAUUAGCAAACAUUUCCUUGAAAAAAAAAUUCUAAAUAGUGGAGUGCAUUCCUUUAUGCUUUUUGAGUAGAAAGAAACCUUGGAGGAGAAGUAAAAGGAAACUUUGAAAUAGCUUAAUAAUGAGAAACUAAACUCAGGAUGGUGAGUUCCAAUCCACAUGGUGCUGUUCAGAGAAGAGCGGUCCGGAGCCCAGGGGCUGGGAGGAGCGGGCCGUGGGCUGUGGUGAGGAUGGGCGCGGCCGGUACCCUGGAGGGACGCGCAGAGCGCACAGUGAGCCCCUGCGUUAGGGCCCUGACCAGCCGCGUGUGAGCAUUAUCAUUACGGCCACCGCCACCAGUGCUGUCCCUCCAGAUGACGCAUCAUCACAACUGUGAAGAGAUGUUUAUCUGGUGGCUGGUGAACAGGCAAGUGGAAGCACGAGGGGAGGAAAGCAGCCAGAGAAUGCUGCCUUCAACACAGCGAGGUCUUCAGGGACGGUUUCAAUUCCUCUCCUGCAAGACUGCCCUUCGCCCAAUUAACAGGAAAACCAUGCAACAGCUCUGUGGUUUUUAAAAGUUUAAGCAGAAUACAGAUGCUUCACACAGGAGGAUGGAAGCGCUGCAAAGGGCCUGGCUUUCCAAGGAGACGGACAGAGCCUGGGCAAGGGGUGGAGGCACUGCCCACAGAUUCCUAGUCACAGGGUGCUUGGGCACCCCUGACUCCCAGGGCCAGGUCCAUUUCCUAAAAAAGCCAGUUCUUUCUGUAGUGUCACACGUUCCCACCAUUAUUUUAUUACCACAGUAUCCUCUUACAGGAUCCUCCUGGAAAGCUGGUUCCAGAGGUGCUCUGUACAACUGCCAAUCAAAAAGUGCCUCUUUUCCACCUUGGAUGCUCUAAUAGUGUAACUAGUGUUUAAAUAAAGUGGUAAAGAAACUGUCUAUCAAAUGAGCACCUUAUUUGAAUCUGGUUGGUCCUUUAAAAUAUAAGGUGGUCAGGGGAGACCAGUUUUACCCCAAAUGGGAAAAAUGGGGGCCUUCCAGUGUUGCUUUACAGAUAUAAAACAGGUCAAAUCAAGAUUCUUUUCAAGAAACCACAGGCAUGAAGCUUGGGAGACUGGAGACUUCCACAUCUAAGGCUUCACUGGGGGGCCUGUGGCUGAGGCUGGGCUGGCCAGGCAAGCCCCAGUGCAGCCCAACCCAGCAGCGGAGUCGGUACAAUCAAAGCUGCAAUUACUGUGCCUGCUUCAAAGGGAGCUUGGAGCCCCAUCUUACAUGUCAGGCUUGGGCUCCCUCCGUGAGGAGUCACCACGUGGGCCAUUUGUUGAGUGACUCUGAAGGAGGCACAAGAAAACACCCUCCCCCCACCAUCCAGCUGAAAUCCAGCACUCUCUCCUGGACUGAACUCCAGUCUUGACAGAAUAUCCUGCUAACCAAAUGGAACCAGGAGCCCAGACAGAGUUGCUUAUUAAGAGCCCAAGUGCUAAAGGGAAAUCUCAAUUUCAAGACAGACCUGCGUCUGGGAGAUGACCUUGGCUCAAAAGAUGUGAAGAAAGGGAAAGGGGAGAUGUCUUCUUAAGUGCAAACAUCAGCCUCUAUUGGAAGCCAAGUGCUUUGCCAGCCCUUAUCCUUGGGGUUCUGUGGCCCAGCCCUCCCCCAAGUCUGUCCUCCAGCAGAAGGGGCAAGGAACCAAGCCCAUCAGCAGGGCCAAGGUGGAGAAGAGGAGGCCUGACACGUGAUGAGGACCCACCCGGUCAGAUGCAGCCACGUGGGCACAGCAUGCUGAGAGAUGCCUUGUCAUGUAACAGCACCUCCUCGUACAGAAACCGCGAGGAACACACAAAGGUGGUUGGAGUAAGAGAUCCUUCCCCUCCCAAAUGUUACUAGCAAAGAGCAGGAACUUUAAAAUGUUUUUAGUUACAAUGUGAAGUUUGAGGAGACAGCAUCAAAGAUGAGUCUGUGAAAGGUGAACAGAAGCAGAGACUUUGUAAAGAGCGCCUGCCUCUCCGCAGCACACCACACACCUCCUGGGCACGGCCAAGUUUUCCUGCCUCACCUCUGGGCAAACCGACACAAGCCUGCUCUCUCGGGGCGGGCGCCCCUCUGCAUGUGUUUACACAGCAGACUUCUAGAGCAGAGAGCGAGCAAGACAGAGCUGGUCUGCCCUGUCCUUCUAGAGGGGAUGGAGGCAUUUGCUCAUCAUUGACUGGUCUGAGGGACCCCUAGAGAUUCGCUGGGGCUCCUGGUUCCCCGUAGGUCACAGGAGCUGGCGAGGAGGAAGGGACAGUGUGGGCUGAGCCCGGCGGCACCAGGGGCUGGGACAGACACGGCGUCAUGUAACCGCGACGGCCCCGCUGACUUCGGCCCAUCUGCAGAGAAGGACCGGGCUGUGUGAGGCGAAUGGCCUUGGCUAAGGUCACCAUAGCGGGCAGAAUUAGCUUCUGAGCCUUCAACCCAAUUUCUUUCCACCGUACUGCAGAGCGGAAUUAUCACUCCCUUGCUUCUCGCCUGGCCGCCUGCCAUACCCAUGAGCCAGUCAACAGCACUGUUAUGACAGUGGAGGUGGUGGUGGUCUACAUCUAGACCACUGUCCACCCCAAGAUGACCUGCUCUCAGAGCAGGAUGAGAGGACAAAGAGCGUGAGAAAGCAACUGGGAAAUUAAAUCUCUAAGAUUUAAAGUAUCACCUACAGAAGGCAGAUUCAGGUCUUUGAAAGGAUUACCCAGUAUUUGAGAAAAAGAAAGAACGAUAAUAUGUGGCUGGGAAGGUUGGUGCUGUCUAUUCUUUCUACAGUGGAGUUAGCCCUUAAGUCCCAGCAUCAAGCUAGCCGGCCCCCAGUCCCCAGCUAUAAGCCCCGAUGCAAGAUGAUUCCACAAUGUGGAGGAAGGAGGGAGAGGGCAGGGCCAUGAGGGGUCACUGGCCUUGGGCUUGGACCCAGGUCAUAUAGACCAAGGCAAGGUCACUGCAUGUGUGUGGUUUCUUCCCUUGUGGUUAUUCAGAGUGAAUCAUUAUCUGGGCAAGCAGAUUUUGGCAAUGUUAAGAUGACUCUGAGGCAGGCCUGUAACUAUUAAUAAACUGCUCUAGGGGACUUUCUUAUUUCCAUCUGCAGCUACUGGCUCCUCUUCUCAUCAGCCCUUUGCCUCUCCCUUGUGAGGAAGCACAUCACAUUGGUUGGCGGGGCCUCACAGAUCCCACCCUAGACCCCUACCUCCACAAGAAACACUGCAGAAAUAUUCCUGAGGAAAGUUUUGAAUAAGAGAGCCUCAAAAUCCAUUUUACUUCUGUAUAUCAAAGUGCUUCAGGAGGACAGUAUCUAUGGAGACUCAUACCCAUUUCUAAAUUCUUUAUCCAAUUCACUUUUUCUCUCUACAAGUUCUCCUACACUAAAGAUGCUAACUUCACCUUCUAAAAGUGAGGCAAGAGAACUAGUGUGCGCUCUGUUUUCUUUCCACUGUCACUUCUGUAUGUGUAGGAGUCUGUGAGUCUUAAGUAUCCUAGGGAGGUGACAAUGCGUUACGGGUUCUGAGCAUGAGCUCUGAGAACAGUCAGUCCUGGGCUGGGUGAGCCCCAGCCUCUAUCACAUCACCUGAUUAUCCUCAGCAAGUUACGUAAAAACCCCAGUCUCCUCACCUGUAAAAUAGAAAUAUUGAUAGUACAUCAUUACACCUCAUAAUGUACGCUGAGGGGGAUGAAAGGAGAUAAUCACCCAUGACAUUACAUGCCUAGCAUCUGAACGGUGCAGCGAGUGUUGGUUACUGUGGCGGGUGGAGAUGUGAGCUAAAGAGAAACAGAGCUAGGUCUGAGCCUGACGCUGCUGCACGCCGACUGCACGGCCCUAGGCAAGUUACUGACAUCUUCUCACCCCUCACACAGCGCCAAGACCCCUCCCCAUACAGGGCUGCCACAAAGUGGGGCGUAGAGGCUUCUGUUAGCGCGUCCAGGACAGAAUACGUGGUCCAGCAGUGUUAGUUCUGUUUUUGUUGUUCCGACCUCAUGUGGCACGUUUGGGGGUAAAAGCAACUGUUGUAUUAUUUACAGAAUUUCUGGUGCAAAAUUAAGAAUAGAGAAUUCUGCAAAGUCUCUCUUAUCAAAUGUAUUAUAAAAUAUCUUCUACAAUGUCUACAGAAAUACAGUGAUACCUGGGAAAAAAUACCAAAGGGCAGCAAAAAUUUUGUUGUUAUAUUUACAGAGGAUAUAUCUGAAAAUUUAGAAAACUUCAAGUUAGAUUUGACUUAGGACUUAAAAAAGUGGGCACUACUGUUUGACUGAAAUGCUUUCAUUUCUUCCCCCUCAUUCUGUCAAAAAAAAAAGAGUGACUUUGCUAAGGCAGGAUCACCUCAGAUUAUUAGACUCACUCCUCGGAUCUAAGACCUGGCAGCUUCAGACCCACAGAGCACAGCUGAGGAAGUGGAAGGGCCUUAAGCUCUCACUGCAGUAACAAAAGAUUCAUGAAAAAAAAAAAAAAAAAGGCACAUUUACCCUUCCUAAUAAGAGCACCUUCCAUACGCCAACUCAGACUCUAUUUAAUGUAUAUAUUAUUCAAAUAAGCUUUAUUUUCUGGUUCCCAAAUCCACAAAAUGGAUCUGAAGGAACAUAUUUACUACUGUCAGGGAGAGGUACAGUCCCUAGUCAGAAUGAGAAGACAGUAAAUGAAAAAGAGCAGAUCUUUAGAAAUCCCCUAUUAUUUGGGGUCAUUUACAAGGGUCAGAUACCAUCAAUUCCUUGUUGCCAUAUACCAUACAGUACAUUACUCUACAGAAUAAUGGCAUGAGGUAUUAAAAAACAUUUAAAUAACAUGUACUCUGCUGAACAAAGAGCGGUACUCACAAGAGUUUAAAAGUACAUGUUUUGAUACUUAAACAGGUAAACCUCGAGUUCGCUAGCAAACUCCAUUAUCCAGAAGGAAAAUUCUCUGUUUCAGACAACCAAAUUUGUCCAAAACAUUUUAUUCUGUGAACUAUUCUUAAGUGCUUGGAUCUUAAUUUCACAGGUUUCCAUGGACAAUACUAAAGACCAUGUGUCUCGAGGGUUGUAAGAGCCUUGUUCUUCUCUCUACUAGCAUUUUUUAAUGGCAUGUGAUCACUCCCACUAGCCAAGGGGUCAGUUUCCUAUUUGUUUCCCAAGGCAACUUAAACCUGAUUUUAGCUCUUGUGACCAUUCAAGAGCGGCACAGAACUGAUGGGAAGGACACUGUGGCACUGCAGAGAUUUUCCGAGCUCUCGCUGUAAGCACGAUCCUCUCCCUGUUCCUUCACCAGUGUACAGCCGCCGAGACAAACCACCACGUGUGCUAGACUAACAGCCCAGCCCCCGGUGUGUAGUGCACCGAGGCGGCCAUCUGCCUGCCCCCCUCUUGAUUAUUCCAACGCCAACACACCCCUGGUUUUUUCACUUUCUCAUUAUCAAAGCCUUCAUUUCUACUUUGAGACUUUGGAUAAGCCUUCCUGUUUCCUAGGUAUUUCCAGUUUUACUAGUCUGUAACCAGUUGGCUUUGCUUUCUAACUUGACCAGCCAAUCUGGGAACCAGAGGCUCACUGAUAGUUAAUGUGGGUGACUACAUCUGUCCUCGGGGAACAGAGUUCAGGGCAAAGAUUAGGCAAAAGUGUCACACUCACUAGGGUGAGCUUCAAAAACUGUAUGAAGUAAACGUUUUUCUCAAGGAGACUCCUGAAAAGACUCAGACCUCUCCCUGACUCUCAGGAGCACACAGCCAAGUCUCGGGCUUCAGGCAAGUCUCCUGGAGACCUUCAGUCAGUUCUGAAGAGGACUCCAGUCCAAUCAAAUGGAAGGCUAGAAAAAAUUUUAAAAGAUAUAAAUCCAAGCACUGCACAAUUAACUAUGGUGCUGUCUACUAUACUAGAAAUUACUUCUCCCACACACUUGUUGGCCCAGGAAAAUAAAGGCUAAAGUUUUCAUUUAGGAAAAAAUAUUUUAAAUUCUCAGUUUAGCAAGUGUAUAAGGUAAAGAUUAUUCCAAGGCCAAAAUCAUAGUGUAGUGUGUCUUUAUAUGGGUGCCUGUCUGUAUCUCUUGGUGUGCUUAACUCUUUUUUUUUUUAAAAAAAAAAGGUAGCUUGUUUUUAAACUAGCCUUUUGGUGUUAUAUGAUCAAAGGAAAUACACUGAAAAUCUAUAUAAUUUUAAGAUAAUGGACUUUUUAUAUGUUUUGCUAAAGUAAAUAUUAGUAAACCAAUCAGUAAUGUUUUUUAAGUUAGUAAAUGGAGAAUAAUAAUCUUCUCCACCUUUUCAAAAAUUUUUAAUUCUUUGCUGCUUCAAUUCCUCAUGAAUCUUAAGUCAGGAAGAAAGGCAAGUAUUUGAUGAUAAUCUUUGACUUCUGACAACCUUGAGAUGUUACAUAUUUCAAAUCUAACAUGUACCAGAAUACUGGAAACUCACAACUUGACCAUUGUUCUUUCAAACCCAAGAAUUGUUCCAUGACUGGACAGCUCAAGUGUGACUUCCCACUCCAGGAAGCCUUCCUUGAUCCCGUUUUGAUUUGUGUUAACACAGUGUACUGUGUGUGCUUCCUCUCUACCGUACACAUAUUAUUUUGUAAUUAUUCAUUUAUACGUCUGUAUCCUCUUAAACAGAGAGUUCCUCUGGAAAUGGGCAGGGUUCAUUUAGCAGGUCACCCCACUGCCUAAAGCAGUUCUUGAUUUGCUCGAGUAGACCUCAUUGGAUGUUCACAAAGUGAGCAAACAACUGGUGUUUAGGACACCGGCCCUCACGGGAGUGUGUGUGCAGUCUCACUGCCUGGGGCCCUGGGCUCCCGGCAUUCCUACAAGUGAAGAGUUAGUUUAAAAAAAGCUAAGGAUGAAUUUGGAUUUCUUGAAAGAUCCCACAGCUUGGAAAUCACCUCCGAUUUGGAGGAAUGUCUUUUGUAGAUCCUAAUUCUAAUUAUUCCUAAAGUUGGCUACAAGAUGUUGAGACUGGGUUAAUGCUAAUUUCUUUGUUUCAACUUGAUUUCACCAGAAUGACUAUUUUUAUAUAAUGCACAAAAGUUGAAACACACAGGCAGAUGGGGACACAGCUGGGUGUAUGAAGCAACUCCAAUGGCAUUUCCCAUCAACAAAGUGAAAGCAUUAAAUGAAGCGCGUGUCUUUUAAGGAGUAGAAGAGACAAGUUCUCAGACGGCUUUUGUUCACAGAGGAGUCUUUUCCCUAUAAUCCACCAUAUCCCAUGCUAGUUCAGAGUAAUGAGAGCUCCCUACCAUUUGAGCUACAUCACAGACUUCUAAGCUCAGUGAUCUAAUUUAACGGGAAUUUCUUUUAAGGAGAGCAGGGUAACGGUAAAUUUCAUUGUACAGAGAGAAACCCUCUCAAAAAUCUCUUCACGUUGGAGUCACAGCAUCUUCCCCAUCUGGGCACUGCGUUCCAUCAGCUUUGCCUUCCUGCAGGGAUAGCCUGACUCCAGGAUUUCCCUUCGGAGCUGAGAGCAAGCCCUAAGAGACCUCACACCCGCUGUGGGCAGGACUGCGCCUAACCAAAGACUCCAUCUGCCUUGGGCUCCUGAGGUGGGGCCAGCACAGGUGGGACUGAAGUCUGGCAGACAAGAGGCCACGUGGCGGCACCAGUAGGGAAGCGAAGCCUCGAACGAGAGGCAGUGCUUCUGUCGCUCAUUCCAGGGGCGGGGGGAGGUGACCUGCACAGGAUUGAACAGCAAGCACAUCGUGCACAAGUCGUUUUCAAGAUCAUACAGGCGCCUUAUUAGUUCUACAGAGCCGCCCCACUCACACCUAGAAUGAGGACAGAUUAGUAAACAGAAGAGACUUCGAGUCCCUUUACUAACGCUUGGGAGGCAGGGCAGCCCGCGGAAGCACAAAGCAAACCAGGAAAAGUUGGGACUGGAGGCAGCUGGGAGCUUAGAGGCCAGGAAAUAGCCCUCUUUCACUUCUGCCUUCUGCUGAGGGACCGGAGGCUCCUGACUUAAACCUACUGCCCCAGGUCAUCACAUGGCACAGGGAGGGCUAAUGUGAGAGCCUGGGUGGCCUCACUCCCAGUCUAAGCUCUUUCUAACAGCGGGAUGCUCUGUUGCCCUGGUCUUCCAUUUAGAACAAUACACAGAACACCCUCCAUGGAAGACAAUCGCUUAUUACCGAGUGUCACCUCCUCAGGAGGCCCUGUGUCGUCAUCGGCCCAGAGCCAACCCUCCGUCACUCUGCUUAUUUGUAGUACAGCGCGCACACGCUUCUGGUUUUAAUCAGUUGCCCUGCCAGCAAUGUAAGCAGUACAGAGCAGGGGCCUCCGGAGCCUCGUUCAGUGGUGUAUUUCUAGGUAUUACAGCGCUAACUGGCAUUUAUAAAGUGCCCAAUAAAUGCUGAAUAGUAACUAAACAAGUCAACUGCUACCCAUAGAAGUUUCUGAAUUCUUAAAACAAAGAAAGGGGUGGGGAAACAGUAGGGGUAGUAUCAUUCCUAAUUUGCUGAAAUCUUUAUGAAUGCAAAUCUGACCUCCUCUCUGCUUAGUAACUCUUAUCAAAUGACUGGCAGUGCCGUUCUCUAAAAUAGGAUAGUGUGGAGGACAGGACUUCAAAGGCUGCAUGACUGAUCCAGCACCGAGAGGGGAGAGGAACACUCAAGACUCUGAUUAAGUGCAGCCCAGCUGACAAGAGCCAAGAAUUUUUUUCUUGGGGCUGGGGGAAGGUAAGCUUUGUUGUGCUUUUCUGGAGCAGGGCAGAGGGGACACCCUGACCUCAAAAAAAAAAAAAAAAAAGAAAAAAAAAAGCAAACACGAAAGUGACAAGGAAGCAUAAUGAUUACUGUAACAUUAUUUUUUAAAAAGGAGAUAUUUGGGGUACAUUCUAGGACAAAAAGGCAUUUCGCUAAUCUUCAAAUCUAAAAUACUAUAUAAUCAUAAAGGACACAAAACCAAAUAUUAAAGUCUGAAGUAUAGAAACAAAAGUAUAGAAACAGAUUUCUGCAUGAUUUUUGAAUAGAAACAGCAUUAAAGAUGGUGGUGCAAACAGAGGACAGAGUAAACCAGACCAUUAUCAGUCCUUAGCAUGUUGUGCUUAUGAGGGUUUUCCAUUUAGAACCAAGCAUUAAAGGGGCUGCUGUCCAUACCCAGGUGUUCAGUAAUUAAAAGAACAAUAGUCUUCAAGAAAUAAAACGCGACAAAAAAGGUACAAAAGCAUAUGUGUUUACUACUAGAACUAUUUCUAAACUAUGAUGCCGUAAGUACCCGGGGGCUGGGCCUGUGCUCCUGGUAACCCAGCUACAAGGCCAGCUCAGAAGAGGUCCUCAGUAAUAGCUAUUAAGCUAAAUUAAAUAUGAACAUCAACUGUGACAUUAUUUUUCUGAUACCUGUUUGGUCACCUGUAUGAAGGUCUGAUCUUUAUACCUGGAGAAAAGCCUGCCACUAACUACUAGUUUAUAAGACUUUUGAUAUCAUAAAACAAUGAUGAAAUUGUGAAGAACUCUGAGACUCUGAAUAAAGAUGAAGAAAGGCUCACAGAGAAGAGGACAGCUGAGUUGGGUCUUGGUGUGGGGUGGAGGGAUGAAGGGAGGCCACUGAUGAUAAACAAAGAACCCUAAGGGGUGGCGCUUACUGUUCCCAUUUUAGAGUGGAGGGAAAUGAAGAUUAAGAAUCUCAAGCUGGGAAAACAGUGGAUGUAAAAUUCAUAUCUAUUUGGUACCAAAAUCUCUGCAGGCUUUCCUAGGAAAACCCAUUGAAAUUUUAGCACCAAAAUCAAGUUCUAAAAGUUUAAGUGGUCAUCUUGUUCUAGUAAAGAACUAAAUGACCCACAAGCUAAUGCUCUUCUCCUGAGAAACACCACACUCAGGCAGAGGAAAUGGGCUUUCUGAGCACAGGGACAGCAUGUGCAGCAGCCUCCAUCUGUCUGGGGGACGCAGAUGAUUUUGCUUGGACGGAGCACAGGACGCAUGGUUGGAGGUGAGGAGAGGCAGAGCACGGAACCUCGAGCAGAGGGUAGACGCAGGCCCGCGCUAACGUGGUCUGCACUGUGUCCUUCAGACGGGGAGGCACUGGCCCUUUUCAAGCAGGGAAGUGGACCAUUCAUUUGUGUUUCAGCAAAUCCCUCUGAGAGCAACACAAAGAACUGGCAGAAAUGAAGUCUGGCAGCAGGACAGUCAUCCAAAGCUAGUACAGUAACCCAGAUGGAAAGUUAGAGCACCUGAGCUGAGGCUGUGGACUGCUGAGUGUGAGAGGCAAGACUCGAGACAGACCCCAAAGACUGAGUUGACGGGACUGGAUACGGGUUCCUAGAGAGAAGAGAAUCAAAGGGAGUGCCUCUGAGAAGAACUGAGAAUUCACAGACACACUAUGAAAUCGAAGCCUGGCAAAGAAUGAGGCAGUUUACAAAGCCAGGUUUCCACCAGGGAUGCUGGUCACAUGGUCAAAAAUCAAAUGAAAUAAAUUUAGCUAUAAAGAUGAGAGCAAGAUCUAGCAAUGGUUACCAGUAACGAACUUGAUAGUACAAUACAGUUAAUAAGUCCUCAAGCCAUAUAUUUAAAUAAUAGAAAAAAAUGAAGCCUCUUUCUCCCUAGAAAUAAAUACAUUACUUGUAAGCCUCUAUAUAUCAUCCCAACUGAGAAAAAGUCUCUACAGAGCAAAACCUUCCAAGUCCUGGGCUAGUGUGGGCCUGAGUUCCUCCAGCACAGCCCUGGGUUUGCAGAGUAAGAUGGCAUUUUGCUGGGUUUUGUUACUUGUCUUUUAAGCAGGCAGAUUGCCAUUGGUUAGUAAGGAAUGGUUGACAAGAGUUAGGGGAAAGGGAAUGGAGAAAGAUUAAAGGGGCAAAAAAGGGAAGAAGAGAGACACAUACUAUAUUGCAAGUCUAUAGCCGGUAUAAAAACCAUGAGAUGUUUUAAAGCACUGCUUGGAUUUUGGUGGUCUUUCCUCUUUAAAGGAGCCAUGCUGAACGGCAUCAGGAUAAGCAAGAAGAUUCACACGCAAGUGCCUCUGUUCGUAAGUAACGUCAGCAGUAGGACCAGAGAGUCGUUCUUACCAUGUUUCAGAUGUAGGCAGCUGUCAUUCUUGGACCUGUACCUGCAGAAAAUUGUGUCUUUAACAAAUUUUUAUUGAAGAGGUUUUUGUACAUUCCAAAUACGUAGUAGCUACAAUAUAAUGUGGACCUCUUUGCUUUCUUUUUUAUGGUUCUUAUACCAGCCGUUUUUCAUUUGUGCAGUACAAGUAGAGGCCUUAUCUUUAAUGAAAGAAAAGGGGAAAUAAAUAGGACCUCACUGAUUGAUGCCUUGAAUUACUGUACAGGAAAGAUAAACCCUAGCAUCAUGUUUUAUAUUUUUAAAUAACCCCAAACCAUAGAAAAGAUUCUCCAGGGGAUACAAGGUGGCAUAUCACAGGGUCAUCAUAAAAAACUGUAAUGUGAGGAAUUAUGCAACUAGAAGAACAGGAGUGUUAAAGCAAAGAGAAGACACACAACAAAAGCAAAAACAAAACUAAGGAAAAAAGAAAACAAUCACAGUUAACAACGAGGAUUCCUGGUAACAGGGUUUGGGGGAGCUUUUUAGAGGUACCUUCACAUAGUCACAUUUAAAAGAAAGCUCUUUCAAACAUUUUAAAAGAAUUUCAGGAGGAAAAGCCGAGUUUAGGAAUCACAGUAUAGUUGAAAAAUAAAGCAGUGUAUAGAAAGAUGCAGACUGCUUUAAAGGUGUUCCUCAGAAGCAGAGCGGGCUGGAAAGUCACACGGGGCCUACCUGAUGUGGAUUCCUGUAGCUUCUCUCUCUUCCUCUUCUUUUUCUUACCCUGGAAGAAGACAGGCACACUGUCACAGACUGUACUGUGAGCACAUGGAUGAAUGUGAUACAAAAGGACAGGCAGGCAGUCAACGGAGAGGUAAGACACCUCAAUAUCUCUUUCUUUACCAUCUGUACCUAGAAACCGAGAGCAAGAGAACAAUUCUUAUCUGUGACCUUUGUCUUUUUGGCUUCAACAUUUAAUGUCAUAGGUAUUGAGUUGGCAGUGACCACACGCACACAGGAUAAUGAUGUCCUAGGGCUGUGGUGGGCUUCCCUGGUGGUUCAGGGGUAAAGAAUCCACCUGCCAAUGCAGAAGACGCAGGUUCAGUCCCUGGGUCGGGAAGAUCCCCUGGAGAAGGAAAUGACAACCCACUCCAGUAUUCUUGCCUGGGAAGUCCCAUGGACAGAGGAACCUGGCAGCUCCAGUCCACGGGGUAGCAGAGAGCUGGACAUGACUUAGCAGCUAAACAACAACAACAAGGGCUGUGGCCACAGACACCACCUCCCACUCGAGGAAGCCCACAUAAGGAGCUACUCCAGUACUCCUUUUAUUGCUAACCAUCGCACUUAGAAUCCACUUCUGGUAGAGGUGAUGAUAAAUCUUCCUUACUAUGAAUUCGACCAUCUAAUUAAAAAUCCACAACGUUAACAGGAUCUUCAGCCCCUGUGGCACAGACACGACAUAACCGAGACAGCAGUAGGAGGAUAAGACAGAACCUGAGAAAACUCAAAAGGAUUAUCCUAAGGACUAGAAAACAACACACAAAGCAUUUAAGAUAGUUCUUGACAAUUGGCAUGCGGCAGUUACUAAAACCACCAAGACACAAUCCAGGAGAGUCGAUGAAGCUGCUGCUCCCAAGUCACAAACAGCAGGACUCUUACUUCCUAUGUCAGACUUGUAUCCAAUGAGGAGGCUCCAAAUCCUGACCAGUAGGGACUUUUUCUUCAACAUGUUAUAGGAGACUGUGUUCCCAAAGUCUCUGUGCCUCAUUAUAUGGGAUGUACGACCUCACACUUGUGGCCCCACAGGAUCAUCCACAGCAAUGGUCACACGGUAAUCUACAUGUUGAUUCAUGGCUUCACCGUUCUUGAAAAGGACAACUACAUCUAAUAAGAAGACUGUCCUAGCUGGCACUUUGAAUGCGAGCCUCACAAGAAACAUGAAAAUGAUCUUCAAAUUUUUAAAUUAAGAGCUUAAGUGACCAAAAACAUUCCCCUCUAUAAAAUAGGAUACAACUGAUAUCACUUACAAUAUUCUUUCUCAGAAGUAGUUUUUGUUGUAUCAAGACAAGAACAAGAUGUUCAAACUAUAAAGUAAUAAAACAACUGGAAAUUAAAAUGAGGUGCUUACUGCAAGGAGAUCCAACCAGUCCAUUCUAAAGGAGAUCAGUCCUGGGUGUUCUUUGGAAGGACUGAUGCCAAAGCUGAAACUCCAAUACUUUGGCCACCUCAUGCGAAGACUUGACUCAUUG